rnacentral:lncRNA from 1 species
CGAUAUCUCACCGUCACGGAGGUAAAGGUGGGUAGAAAAACACAAAAAGACCAAUGGAGCAUAAUUUACAAUAAACUCGUUUAUUAACAUGAAAACAUUUACCAUCCACUUACCUCGGUGGAAUUUAUGAAAACAAUAUAAGAAAAAUAAUAACAUUAUCACAAUCAUGGAAUAAUAUAAGCUGUAAAACAUAGCACUUAUCACGCCUUUUGUAAUUCAAUCAUUAUACAACAUAUCUUUUUCUCA